rnacentral:rRNA from 1 species
CCUACGGGGGGCAGCAGUGAGGAAUAUUGGUCAAUGGCCGGAAGGCUGAACCAGCCAAGCCGCGUGCAGGAAGAAGGUUUUCGGAUUGUAAACUGCUUUAGAUAGGGAAGAUAAAAGACUGUACCUAUAGAAUAAGCUCCGGCUAACUACGUGCCAGCAGCCGCGGUAAUACGUAGGGAGCAAGCGUUAUCCGGAUUUAUUGGGUGUAAAGGGUGCGUAGACGGGAAUUUAAGUUAGUUGUGAAAUCCCUCGGCUUAACUGAGGAACUGCAACUAAAACUGAAUUUCUUGAGUGCGGGAGAGGAA